UCUGUGGCCCACUCAUCUGAGACGUGUCUCAGGCUGGUGUGUGCCUGAACAAGCAUCCAGCCACGUCUCUUCCACUGCAGUCACUUUCUACUGUCAAAGAUUUUCUAUGAAAGUUCCUUUCAGAACUGUAAAUCCCAAAUAUGCACAGUGUCCUGCUGAGUCGUCCUUCUCAAGCCGAGACCUUGGGUUUUAUAACCCCUCCUACUAGCCCUGGGGGGUUGAAGCCCAGAGCAUUUUGAUGUGGACUUGGCAAAGGAAGAGGUUCCUGUGCUAAUUUCCUCUUGCUCUAUAUAAUUAGUCAGCAUUUGAAAUGAGGUAACAGGAUAUAAUUGUCUACUGACCAUUGCAAGCCCAUUUGUUUAUGACACACUCACCCGGCUCUUAGAUGUACAAUAUUAUUACCCACCUCUUCA